UUUAAUGUUUGAUGUUCUAACGUGGAUCCGUGAUCCGGGUUGCGGACAGUGUCUGGUGGGUAGUUUGACUGGGGCGGUCUCCUCCUAAAGAGUAACGGAGGAGCACGAAGGUUGGCUAAUCCUGGUCGGACAUCAGGAGGUUAGUGCAAUGGCAUAAGCCAGCUUGACUGCGAGCGUGACGGCGCGAGCAGGUGCGAAAGCAGGUCAUAGUGAUCCGGUGGUUCUGAAUGGAAGGGCCAUCGCUCAACGGAUAAAAGGUACUCCGGGGAUAACAGGCUGAUACCGCCCAAGAGUUCAUAUCGACGGCGGUGUUUGGCACCUCGAUGUCGGCUCAUCACAUCCUGGGGCUGAAGUAGGUCCCAAGGGUAUGGCUGUUCGCCAUUUAAAGUGGUACGCGAGCUGGGUUUAGAACGUCGUGAGACAGUUCGGUCCCUAUCUGCCGUGGGCGCUGGAGAACUGAGGGGGGCUGCUCCUAGUACGAGAGGACCGGAGUGGACGCAUCACUGGUGUUCGGGUUGUCAUGCCAAUGGCACUGCCCGGUAGCUAAAUGCGGAAGAGAUAAGUGCUGAAAGCAUCUAAGCACGAAACUUGCCCCGAGAUGAGUUCUCCCUGAGACUUAGAGUCUCCUGAAGGAACGUUGAAGACGACGACGUUGAUAGGCCGGGUGUGUAAGCGCAGCGAUGCGUUGAGCUAACCGGUACUAAUGAACCGUGAGGCUUAACCUUACAACGCCGAAG
rnacentral:rRNA from 1 species